UAGUAUCUCUAGCAUUUUUUUAUUGUUGAGGAUGUUCCUGUUUUUAAAGAUGCUAACAAUGCCAGUCUUUUCCUUUUUUUUUUUUUUUUUUUUUUUUUUUUAAUUUAACGGGAACUUAAAAAGGUAAAUUAUGAUAUGAGUGAAGCAAAAGGCAAGCUCUACCUCAGGAUGGAAAAAAGGGAUUUCAACGUUUCAGCAAAGCUAACUUUGACUGGAAGCAGCUACACUAAUGCCAUUGAAGUGGCACAGACCAUGGCCCAGUUAAAAAUUCUUCCAAGGCAGCUUGUGUUUAUGACAAUUUACCAAAAAGGCAACAGAACUCAUCUGCUGAGGCACAUUGCCCUGUGGGAUGGCAAAGAGAUAAAGCUAACAGGCACUUACACUGGACUCUUCCCAAAGCUGUCUGGAGGCCAUGGCAUUCAGGUGGAACUUCUCCAUCCUCUCUCCAUCCCUUUUCCACGGCAUGUCUGGGCCAACUUAUAUGUGAAACAUUCAGCACGCAGUCACCAGGAUGUCCUUACUGUCAUUUGGAACGAGAAGGACAAGAUAUCAGUGUCAUCUUCUCUGAAGAUUGGAAGGCACCGGACAAGCUACAGAGCCACUGUUGCCCACCCAUUUAAUUACACUCUGAAGGAACUGGAGGUGCAUUCCCUGUCAGAAAGAAGGGGCAGAAAGUACAACCAGCAGCUGCAGGUCUCAGGGAAUGCUGGGCAGCCUGCUCACCUCCAGCUGGGGCUGGAGGAUAAAUCCAAGAUGGACAUCACUGCCUGGGGUGGCUGUGUGACACUCUCUGCAGGCCA
rnacentral:lncRNA from 1 species